UCGCAGAAGCCCACCGGGUUACUUCCGUAGACCUGCACCCGUUUUCAUAAUAAGGGGUUUCUUGCAAUUUCGAGUUUCUACGCUGCGCUCAAACAACACCAAAUUAGGGUUUCUUCCUCACACCCUCUCCUUUAUAAACACCUCCACUUUCUCGUUUCCAAUUAUUCUCUCCAAGCUUCAAUCUUUUAUGCCUUUUUCGUUCUAGAAAUAGUUUUAAGUUUUUGGGUUUGUCUUAUUCCACUUUUCAAACCCUAAUGGGCAUCGUGUAUGAGCUGAUGCAACAGUAAUUCCUCCCUGCAAUUUCUUCUGUUCUGUUGAUAAUUUAUUUGGUUGAAUUGAGUUCUGUUGUUUUUUUUACUUUGAAAUUUUGAAUGCUUUGGGUCUAGUUGUUGAUUGCAUAGAUAGAAGUGAUGAUUAUUUCCCCAGAUGAUCGAAGAUGAUAUAACUGUGCGAUUUAUUUCUCGUUAGAGAAAUCAAGCCAAUUAAUCUGAUCUAUCUUUGCAUAUCAAUGUUUGCUUAUUAUAAUAUUUUGUAUUAGUAAAUUUAUUUCAAUCCAAGUUGAAAAAAAUGAAAGAUAUAUGCAAUAUUGUAGAUUAUAGUUAAUAAACUCCAAAGUAUAUGGUGUUAUGGUUCAUAGUCAUUCGGUAUUUUUUAGUUGUAGUAAUGAGCAUUGGGGUUUCUUAUACUAAAUGCAUAAACAAUCGUUGUGUUCUUUGUCAUUUUAGUUGUAGCACUCUAGUAGUAAUUUUCAAUGUCAGAGAUGGAAGUGAUGAUUUUUUCCCCAGAUGAUCGAAGCUGAUAUUACUGUGCGAUUUAUUUCUCUUUUUAGAGAAAUCAAGCCAAUUAUUCUGAUCCAUCUUUACAUACCACCAUUUACAUUCAAGUUUGCAAAUGUUGUGGAAAUGACUGUUACUGUUUUUUUUUCAUUGCUAAUCUUUUAAUACAAGUACGAGGAUUAGUAAAUUUUAUUUCAAUCUUACUAAAAAUAAAUUUUAACAUGGAUCCUAUAGGGACGGUGGUCUGUGUUAAAACUUAAAAACACAAUCCCAUGGCUGCAUAUUAGUUGGUGUUUCAAAUUUCAGGCCGCAUCGUCAUUCUAUCAUAAUAUUGUGUUUGUGAUGAUUAUCGUAAUUAUAUCACACUGUAAUUUUGAUAUGGUACCAAAUCACAAUUAUGUGAAAGGUGAAAACCAACAUUUUUUAACAUAUUAAUCAAAUUAAAUUGCAAGAACUUGCUAAUGGCACCAAGCUCGGGUCAGAGGAGAAAAAAUUGCUGGAAAAACUUCAUAAUUGGAGUCUGUCUAUUCAGAAGUGUUAGGACACGAGAAUGAAGUGUUAGAACAUACAGAUUACUGUACAUUCUUAAAUAGGAAAAUUUACUUGAUAGUGUAGUUUGACUAUACUAUCACACGUUUAGUAUGUUUGAGAAAUAUUACCGGAUUAGUGUAACUUUUGUGCAACUCCUUGAUGCAGAGUCGUGCACCAAGAGUACGAGAUUGACAUCAUCAAAUAACUGGUGCAGCCUAUUCACGAGUCCCUUAUGUUGUUAAUUA
rnacentral:sRNA from 1 species